GCACUGGCUUCAGCAGUAUAUGUACUAAAAUUGGAAUGAUAAGAGAAGAUUAGCAUGGUCCCUCAGCAAGGAUGGCACACAAAUUUGUGCAGCAUUCUAUAAUUUU